GAGGGAUGGAGCCGCGGAUCGGAGUGCGCCGGGAGCGCGCAGAGCGGCGCGGGGGGAGCGCGGCACCCGCCCGGCCCUGCCCGCGCAAGCCCCGCGCAAACCCCGCGCAAGCCCCGCGCAGCGCAGCGCGCCCCCGGCUGCGGGCGACCGAGUGUGAAGGUCCAUCUGUGUUUUCCACUGCAAGUUAUGAAACCAGUACUUUCCUUCUCCUGGAGAGGGUGAUUUUGUUUAAGAUCUUCAAAGGGGAGUGAGCCACAAGGCUAUCUGUAGGCUUGCAGUUCUACCGACUCAUGAGGAAUUCAGCAGGGGAAGACGAGGCACGUGCUUGAUGGUGUGUCAGUCCCGGCGUGAUGGAGAGCUUCCCAUGGGAUCACACCAGAGCUGAUGUUAGUGAGCACGGCUGCACUUGGGGACCAGCUUCGUGGGGGAGCAGAGGAAAGGUUGUUCCCUCCUGCACUGCACAGCAGCCCCAACCUAAGAUUUCUUGUUGACAUGAAUAGUCUUUGUCUUUUGUUUUCCCACAUUGCUGGAGGAUGGUAGCAAAAACAUUAAUGGAUUUGGACCAGCAACAUCACUUAGAGUCUGGGAAAGGAGGAAGAAUGUCUCAUCCUUCACUACUGAAGCCUAAUACUAACUCACUAGCCCAUCCAUGGCACCAAUGUUACUGCCAGCACAUGCAGAGUUUCCAGAGGCAAAUGAGCCACUAAAGGGUACAAAGUCUUUCCCAAUACGGUUUAACACUUGAGCAACACAGACCAAAAAAGAAAUCAACUCAUGCAUAUUACCAUAUCAGAUUAGAACAAAGGACGUGAAUUCUUCAGUGAAUAAGAAACCAGAAGAAAGAUCAUGGCGGUCAGAUAAGAAGUUGGAAAUGUUGUGAGCCUUCAAAUAAAGAGGUUAAACAUACAAUUAAAACCACAAAGCAAAAUAAUAAUAACUGUUGUAAGUUGCAUGGAUAAUCAAUACUGAAAUGUGAUGCCUUUUAAUCAGGGGGUCUUUUAAACAGCUUGAGGGGAGGCAAGGUUGGAGGGGAUAAGUAUUUAAUUGCAAGAGCAAAUUUGCUACUUGGGAAGUUGGAAUCCAUGUCUGGUAGCAAGCUCCCCCCAAAAAACGUGGGUUGCAGUGAGGAUGGUGUUAAGCAACAGCAUUCAUAGCACUUAGAUUGCCAGCGAGAUAAAAGGCCUUAUUUAUUAAAGAUAAUUCUUCUGGAUUAAUCUCUUUUCUGUUCUCAAAGCACAAUGAGGACAUUGAAGUGCCCUGUCCAGAUGAUUCUCUCCAGAUCUAUGAUACAGCAAUUGUGAAUGAAAGCUCCCUGACCACAACCUCUGGACAAAACCAACACUACCCUAGAGCUAGUAAGCUGGAAAGGCAGCUAUUUCCCAGAACCUCAAUAGUUCCCCCCCAAAAAAGCGUCUGAGCAAACUGUUCUUUUACAUUAAAUUGUCCUAAGCCAACGUGAAGUGGGUUAUUGUCUUACUAGAAUACGUGUUGUUUUUUUUUAAACUGAAGACCUUUUGACAACUCCAAAUUGCCUCCCACAGCCCCAGUGCAUCCUCUGCAGCCCGCAGGAUGCCUCGUGACCCAUUAGGCUGCAGCUUUCCUUCACUCUCCGACUUCUCCUGCAUGCUGCUGGAUCCCAGUUCCAGUUGGCACGUGGUGGCUCUCUGUUGAUGAAUGAGCGCCAUGGAGCAGAUGGGAUGGAAACAGAGCUGUUCUUGCCAUUCAGUCAGCUCCUAAUGAGCAGUGCUUUGGCACCAAUGUGCUGAGACGUGCCCACUUCUUAAGAGCUGUUUUUUCAUUUACGUGACCCCAUGUGACAGCUCCCUCUCAUGAGAUUUCCUCGGACUUGAUUUAUGAAAUCUGACUUCCAGCUGUACGCUACUUGGGGCACAGACCGGUAUGAUGCUCCUUGUGAGGUUCCCAGCUCGCAGUACACCGCAGACACAACAACAGUUUUAAAAAGUCAGCCAGCGGCCCCAAAAAGAUUUGUCAAAGCUAGGGGAGGGAGGGCCAUCUUUUGCAGGUGAGGGGAAGCGAAGCAAUGCAGGAGCUGUGCUGUAGGAAAAUCUUCAGCUAAACUGUUUUCUUCCUUAUACGAUUGCCAAUGCUGAGCCUAUUCAAGGAAGUCUUUGGGAAAAUACCUAAGAGGAUUUUUCCUUUCAGAUUAAGUGAUUUCUAGAUGAUUUUACCCAUAGCAUAUCAGCAGGGGGGUGAGUUCAGCUGCGCUUUGCCUACACCAGAGAAAGAGAGGCUCACUCUUCUGAAAGUCAUCCACUAAAUUAAUGAAGACAAGAAUGUACAUUAGGCUGAACCUAUUUAGCUUAUUAAAGGCUCCUCUCUCAGA